rnacentral:ncRNA from 1 species
AUUCGAAUUUGGUUGAUUUAAUCUAGAGGUAAGUAUUAUCCGAAAUAAUUGGGCGUAAAGCGCUCAUAGGUGACUUUUUAAGUCCGCCGUCAAUCCCAAGGCUCAAACCUGGAUAGACGGUGAAAACUGUCUAGUUGGAGUAUGGUAGGGGCAGAUGAAAUUUUCGGUGGAGCGGUGAAAUACAUAGAGAACGGAAAAAAUACAACCGCAUAAGUAUUUUGUUGGGCCGAUACUGACACUGAGAGAUGAAAGCUAGGGGAGCAAUUGAGAUCAAAUACCCUAGUAAUCCUCCAUAUAUAUAUAUAUAUAUAUAUAUAUAUAUA